CCUACGGGAGGCAGCAGUAGGGAAUAUUGCGCAAUGGGGGAAACUCUGAAGCAGCAACGCCGCGUGUAGGAUGAAGGUUUUCGGAUUGUAAACUCCUGUUGUUAGAGAAGAGAAUGGCCGUUUCUAACGAAUAAGCACCCGCUAACUAAGUGCCAGCAGCCGCGGGAAUACGGAGGGUGCAGGCGUUAUUCGGAAUCACUGGGCGGAAAGGGUUCGUAGACGGGAAAGCAAGUUAGGUGGUAAAUCCUAUGGAUUAACCGAAGAACUGCAACGAAAACUACUUUUUUGGAGGGCGGGAGAGGUAAGUGGAAUACAGAGUGUAGCGGGGAAAGGCGUAGAUAGUAGGAGGAACA
rnacentral:rRNA from 1 species